UCUGGUUGACGGAGACUUCAUGGAUGCCCCCAGUCGGAACAGCAGGGAAUCCAGGGCCACCCAUGCCACCACCAAACCCAAAGGCACCACCAUCUGCGCCACCAAAACCAUAGGAAAUCCCAGUGCCAGCACCAAAACCUGCAGGUCCAUAGAAGCCACCACCCCUUCCAGCCACGGAGAUCCUCUUGCAUCCGCCGACAUUGUAGAGGCUCCUGCUUCCAAAACCUCCACCAAAUCUUCCAUACCCAGCAGCAGUGCCGCAGCUUCCACCUUGGGAAGUUGAACGUGAGAUGAAGCUGGUGCUGCAGGCAUUCGGGAUGAAGGCAGAAGCAGCACUGAACCCAGUUUUGCACUGAUUCCUUGCAACACACUGGCGAGACAUGGCAGCUGAUGUGAGCAGGGCGAGAGCAAUAGGGAGAAUAAAGCAGUGAGGAAGUGGAUGAGGGAGGGAAGGUGAAGUUGUGCUCCCCAGGCUCAGGCUGGCCCUUUUAUACCCUUACAAGCAGGGGAUGGGUCUGGUGUGGUGCUCGUCUUACUGAUUAACCGGCACGCCUAGCAGCAAUGCGAACGACCGCAGCCUCUGGACGUGGCGGUUGAGCUCGGAGAUCUCCUGCUUGGUGUUGCGGAGGUCGUCCCCGUGCCUGCCGGCGGUAGCCUGCAGUUCCUCGUACUGUCAUGGAGAGAGGAACAACCGGUCAAGGUAAAAUCCAUCGUUUUUUCAGUAACACAGUGUGUGGCAGGGUGGUUGCUUGAAAGCAUUGGAUGCCUCCCCAAGCCCACACUAGCAGCUGAGUUGCUGCUGUGCAAUGCACAGUACUGGAGAAAGUUUUCUUGGAAGAGUCAGUCCUUUUCUGUUCAAGACAAGACAUGAAGAUAACAGCACGGAAAACCCCAAUUCCUUCACCUUGGUUUGGUACCAGGACUCGGCUUCAGCCCGGCUCCUGUUGGCGAUGUCCUCGUACUGAGCUUUGACCUCUGAGAUGAUGCUGUCCAGGUCCAGGUUUCGGUUGUUGUCCAUGGUGAGAACGACGGAGGUGUCGGAGAUCUGGGUCUGCAUCUGAGACAGCUCCUGCAAAGUGCGCAGCGACUAGGUGAGCUCACUCACUUGAGAGAUGCCUUUUCAUCCUUACAGAUGAGCAUGCAGACCUGGGAGAGGCUACAGAUUGUUAUCUAAGGAGCUAAGACAGUUGGUGUAACUCUAAAGAGGUAAAGGAUUUAGCAUCUCCUGGGGGAAGAAAUUAAAGGCUUUCAGAGGAACGGAGGGAGGGAAGCUCCGAACUGAGGACUGAAAUGUCUUGGGAGGUGGUUGUACUUACUGCUUCGUAGAGGGCUCUCAGGAAAUUAAUUUCUUCAGUCAGCGCAUCUACCUUGGCUUGUAGUUCAACCUUGUUCAUAUAGGAAGCAUCUACAUCCUGGAGGACGAGAGAAUUAGGUAAUAGAUUUUAAACUCUUGUUCGCAAGUCAGGGAUGUGCUUAUCUCCACAAUAACAGGCCAGGGAAGAAGGCAUAAAAAAGCAUUUAGAAUAUGAAUGGAUGGAUUUGUGAAUGAAUAGGUGAUUAGAGCUCUACAAAUAAUCAUCAGAUGCUGUUCUGCAAUUUGCUCUCACCUUCUUAAGUGUCACAAAUUCAUUUUCUGCAACUGUACGCCUGUUGAUUUCAUCUUCAUACCUAAUGGAGGGAGGCAGAAGAAGCAUUUGUUUAGGCAAGUAACAAACGGAGGUGAUUUUAGUUUGCUGGAAUGAACUUCCUUAAGAGCAUUUUGCAUACAAUGAUCUUUUCUUUUGCAGAGCAUCUGAAUAAGAGACCAUGAGCAUGUUCCUAGGCUAAACUAGUUAAAACAAGUACAUCUAAUUUUUUUAAAGAAUCUCUGCUGUUCCUUUUUUCAUCUUUCUGGCCCUUAGUCAUACUCCUCUUGCUUGUCUUAAGCAAAUUAAGCAUGCUGUCCUGAAACUUUCAGACCUACCAUGUAUUUUUUUUUCCUCAGUAGGUAAUUUAGUUAAUAAGUCUUUGAUCAUAUUCUAAAUUAUUCACAAAAUGUUUGUGUAUUUGGAUCUGCUACUCCAUUACCGUUUAUCUUGAGAAAAUGGCACAGCCUUUGCUGUCGGGAAUUCCUGUGUCCUGGUCUAUUUGUUAGAGGACUUAUCUGGAUCCCCUGCUUGGCUUAAGGAUGUCAAAUGGAGAAAGGCUGCACCUAUCUAGCACUGAGCGUGACAGACGGAGCUCCAGAACAUGGGAAACUGUACGGUGUGGAGCUGUGGAGGAUGUUAUCGUAGGGAGGACUGACCACUUACCGCUUCGUAGAGAGCUCUCAGGAAGUUAAUUUCAUCUGCCAGCGCAUCUGCUUUGGCCUGCAGCUCAACCUUGUUCAUGUAAGCACCAUCCACAUCCUAAAGAAAAGAAAACCAAAGACAUCUGGGUGAAACCACAAAACAAAAGGGCACCAGGAGGACCCUCUCUCUGCUUCCAGGUAUCGUUUAGGGAAGCCCGAGGGAUCUGACCAGGACCUCCAUACACUGGAGCUGCUUCCGUGGGUGAAUGAAUCCUGUGAUAAAUGCUGAGCCUGCGUGCAACCAACAUAGCUAGAGGUAACUGCAACCAAAUUUUGGUUUUGUAUGUUCAUUUUGCUGGGAAGAGGAACCCAGUGCAAAUGCAAGGCAUGCGCCAGAGAGCGCAAACCACCUGCCCUGAUUUUCACAUCUAUUAAUCUACACAGCGCAAUCUCUUACUUGUUCUUAAAGUCUUCCACCAUGUCCUGCAUGUUCCUCAGCUCAGAGUCCAACCGUCCCCUCUCUCCCAUAAGACUGUCUAGCUGCCGCCUGAGGUUGUUGAUGUAGGCUUCGAAAAGGGGCUCAAGGGACUUCCUGGUGACCGUGUGGCCCUGCUCUUGCAGGAGGCUCCAUUUGGUCUCCAGCACUUUGUUCUGCUGCUCCAAAAAUCGCACCUGAGAAAACAAAAACAGGCACGCGCUGAAACCCAUCCGACAGCGCACAAAGCCCCUUGCCAGGGACAGGAGGGAUUGUUCAACACGGAAAGAGACAGCAAAGAGACUGGAAUUAGGAUCUUUCCACAGGAAUUUAGGGCACCAGAUUCUCUAAAGUAGGACAAGCAGCUGAGACGCCUGGGGAGAAUUUUCAAGAGCCAUUAAGCCGGCCAAGCACCUGUAAUUGCAACUUUAGCUGUUUCUCCCCCCGCUGGAUGCUCAGCCCACCUUACUGGUUUAAACUAGUAGUAUCCCAUUGAGAGGCAUGGAGGUUUGAAAUUUACAACCCGUGGAAGAUCCAUCCUCCCAGCAUUUUUUUAUGGGGAAGGGGGGAUUUCCAAUUUAGGAAAAUGAGGUGCUGAAAAACUCAUCCUUGCAAAGAGCAUGAGACAAUUCUUAGUUUUCAGCCAAACCUGUGCUGUUUGUCGGUUGGGAUUAGUUCAGGCAAGCCCCCAAAUCCAAAGGAAGUUUCUUCCUGUUCUUCUUUCCCGAGGCAACUGAGAAUAUGCACGGGCUGGUGUUUAAGACCAAACUCUCACCUUGUCGAUGAAGGAGGCAAAUUUGUUGUUGAGGGUCUUGAUCUGCUCCCGCUCGUGUGUUCGCACCUUCUGGAUUUCUGGGUCAAUAUCCAGCUUGAGGGGUGCCAGGAGGCUCUGGUUGACGGUCACUUCGUGGAUGCCACCGGGUGGGCAAACAGGGAACCCGGGGCCACCUCGACCAGCAAAUCCAGGACCUCCCAGCCCAAAUCCACCACCCAGCCCAUAGCCGCCACCACCACCAGCUCCUCCUAAGCCAAAACCAGCGCCUGCACCACCACCAUAGCCAAGACCAAAGCCAGCUCCUCCACCAAAGCUGUAUCCGCCACCGGCUCCACUCCGUAGACCUCCACCGACUGAGCUGUAGGAAAUUCUUUUACUUCCACCUAAGUUAUAGAGACUUCUGCUCCCGAAGCCGCCACCAGCUCCGAAGCCUCCUCCACCUCCAGCUCUUCCUCCUCCAACUCUGGAGACAGAGACAGAGCUAAAACUGCUUCUGGUACUACUGCCACCUCCUACGAUAGCAGAGCCUGAGCUAAAGCCCCUCAUGCCCCCUCCAGUUGAUGAUCUGUAAGAGAUCCGACUCAUGGUGGCUUGUUCAAUUGGAAAUGCAAAGAGCAGGAGUGGAAAAAAAAGCUGGUGAAUAAAAGCUGAGCAGCAGGAAAGGAGCAGAGGGCAACGGAGACAGAAACCCCUGUGAUGGGAGAGCUCGGGAGCCUCCUCUUUUAUCUGCUUGGAAAACUUGGCACGGGAAUUCAGAACUUGACGUGCCUUGCAGCAACUUGCCUUGUCAAACACACCUAGACUACGGCGAGGCGCUGAAAAAUGCAUUGUUUGCAGGCAAGAAAGUAACGGAGUGAGGGAGCUACCCCCACCCCCAAAGCCUGGUGCUCUGAGUCAUGAAAUGAGAAUUGAAUGGGACGACUCGCCGAGGUCUGUGCUCAUGAGCAGGACGCAACACGAUUCUCCCGAGACCCUGGAAGCCAGUUUUCCUUAUGCCAGCCAGGGCUCACCCAUUGCAGUGAGCUUCCUUGUGCUGAAGCCUUUGCAAGGUGAAGUUUAGGGUUCAACACAUCACACGGCGAACAAAGCAGCACAGACAGGGGCUGAUCUUUCCGAAACUGCCCUGUCGUGGUGUCCAUGCCCUGUUGUUGGUUUGGGAAAGCUGAGGCUGAAGGUGAUUUUACUUCUCAGCACAGCUAUUUUGAUUUCUUUUGGAAAAGGGCUCUAAAGGAUCGCAGGCUGGUGGAGAGGAGCUGGGUGGAAGUUGUCUCCUGGUAGUAUUUUUUGGGAUCUUACCAGAAAGUUGCCUCUCCUCUUUGCAGGAGGAACUGAGAAAUUAGUUAUCAUGGCUUUCAAAGACAGCGAGGGAAUCGCCCUUCCAAAAUAAUGUGAAACUGCAUUAAAUAGUACUAUGGCACUUCUAAAACAGAUAUUAAAGAGAUGAUUGAAAGGGUUGCACUUGUUUUGAGUCUUCUCGUCAGGCUGAGGGUUCAAAAGCUCUCUGUGAAGUGGUAUUUUUAUCACUCCCCCACCAUAUUUACCCUCUAACCAGCAGCUUCCACAUCACUGCUGGCUCCUCGAGAUGUUCUCUGUAGGGGAAUUCGCCCACUUUCCUUCCAGCUUCCUCCCACCCCUCCUUCGCUCUGCUGAGAUCAUGCAGUCGGAUGAUUUUUGAAAACAUCUUUGGCCCCUUGAUCUUGAGCUCUCAGGUGAACCCAGGGGCUGAGAUGGGGUUGGGUCGUGUUUUGGGAUGGUGCAAAGGCAGGAAAGCCAGGACCUCAUCCCUCGUGCCCACAGAGAGCUGGAUGUGGGUUACAAGAGAUGUCCCCUCCUUCCCACCCAAAGCAAGUCUGCAAAGCAAACUCAGCCCAGCCACAUCCUUGUGCUGCAAGGGCCACCAACCUCCAUCGGGUUGUAUGUCAGAUGAACUAAUAGUGCACAGCAGAGAGAUAAAACUGAAUCAAAAAAGAUUUUUUGAAAUUGGCUACGUGAGCAAUAAGUACGGGAACUUAAUCCAAAAUGAGUUGCUUAAGGGUAUCUGCAGCAUCUCAUAGCUUGUUUCUGUUGAUGUGCUUCCAACUGCCGUUUUCUCUGUCUGGGAACUUGAAAGAACCUGAGCAGAAGGGAUUUUUUUGUUUGUUUUCCUUAUUGCAAUCAUAAAAGCCGGCGCUCACAACUAUCAUCUCCUGCAAGCGCUCCUGUCACCGCCUAUUGCCAAUAGCGUGAGUCACGAGCACCCGAAGCGCGUUCGGGCGAGCUAUCGGGGAGCCGAUCACCAGGCGUGCUGCACGGGAGCAAGCCGGGCGGUAGCAAGGGGGUGCUCUCGCCUCGGGAGUGGAGACCGGGAACCCGCCGGGUGCUGCGCAAUGAGCUGGAAAUGCCAAAAUUCCCAGGAAAACUGCACCCACACUCGCGCAUCCUGAAGCUGCUGUAGCCAGCAUCGAGCCCUGAUUUAAUGGGUGAUGAUGCAGGUAACCCCAAUAACUGCUGCUGGUUUGGAUCAGCAGCAAUCCCAGGAAUGUUACCAGGCUUAUACUGGUAUUGAAACUAAAUAAAUUGUGUUGGAAAUGUGGCAGAUGUACAGAGAUUUGGUUUCCAAACCUGCAGAUGGGAGUUGGCACAUGUGAGCUGGAUCUGGUGGAAGGGGGCCAGGCAGCAGCGGCCGGGAGCCUGCCUUUGACUUCCAAAGCGCUAUGCAAAGUCACACCUGGGAACCAGAGCACAGGCUGCAAAUGCUUUAAUUAAAGAAAAGAGAAAGGAUUCAUGUUUAAGGCAGUCAUUACCUCCCCAGCUCUUCUAGGAAAGCCUGUUGCUGCAGACAACGGUAAUUAAGUGGAAUAUUACAAAGGGCAAAGCAAAUGAUGGUUUAGGCACAAAAAAAAAAAAAAAAAAAAAAAAAACA